AAUAAGAUAAUUUUUUAGUUUUUUGAUACAAUGUUUUGACUCUUUAUCUAAUUUGAAUUUUUUUUGCGAUUAAUAUUUUUAUUCUUACUAGAUGAUAAAAUAUAAAUAAUACUUUAUGCGUAACUAAAUUUUUAAAUUUUUUGUAUAAAUUUUUCAAAUAAGACGAAUGGUCAAACGUUGGACACGGAAAACGAAAAAUGAGGUUAUU
rnacentral:pre_miRNA from 1 species